CAGAUUAUCUGUCAAUGAAUUGAAAAACAAAAAAUAUAAUUUAAAAAUUUUAUCGAAGCCAGAUUGCCAGAAUAGCUGGCCCUAAAGAUGUUGAGCGUGCAACGGGUUACAUUAACACGCUACAUAACGAUCAAGGGUCUGCAGGCACUGGUGAACCGGCUGGAAUAUGCUAAUGAUCACCAUAUUCUGCCCACUGCUCAUCCGAACUACCAGGUGCAGGCUCGACGUGAAAAUGAUCCACAUCUACAGUUUCCCGCGAUUUGGCGCGAUUCACUAACCGCCAGUGUUGGAAUAAAGUGCGGGCCAAACUGGAGGCCCUUCACAAUAUGACGCUACAAAACUAUGGAGAAAACUUAUUAAUAUCAAAAUUAUGUUCGUAUUGUGCAAAUUGUCAAUUACAAACUGAAUCUGAAAUAAAACAAAAAAUAACUGCGUA